ACUGGGAAUUCUUCAGGGCUGACAUCCUUCCACCCAGCCUGUCUCUAGGACCACGGCGGGUCGUGCUUGUCCUGCCAACACUGAGAGAACAGAAGUUGCUGCUUGACUCUGCAGUGAAAGCCUGUCCAUGAGGUCACACACAGACAGGAAACACGUUCAAUUAUGGUAUACGGCCCCCUGUAUAUAUCCCAGGCUGGCCAAAUACUUACUAUAUUGCCAAAUAAUGACCUUCAACCCCCGAGCCUCCUCCCUGUGUCUCCCGAGUGAUGAGAUUGCUGGAGGGGAAGUCUGUAACCAGCAAGAAUCAAUUGUAUUGACUGGUGUGGCCGACUCAGGCAGGCUUCAAAAGCCUCCAGCACAAGGAAGUUCAGCGGGAAAUGAGGGCCGAGAUGAGGUGUCUGUGAAGGGCAGGGUGAAGCCACAGCUCUAACUUUCAGCUACUCGGGGUGUUUCAUCCUCUGUGACCUCAGAUCUGUACUGCAAAGCCAGGCAGAUUUGCUUCCAAUCCCAGGGUCACACCAGCCGUCUGGGGCAGCACUGGCUCCACCCACCGUCUAUAAAAUAAAGAAACCGAGUCCAACGUGGAGGCUCAGCAGGUAAAGGCGCUUGCGCGGGAGCCUGGGUUCUAUCCCUGGGAACCACAGGGUGGAGAGAACUAAUCCACAGAAGUUGUUCGCUGACCUCCACCCUGAUUUGAUAUCCAGCACCCACAGGGUGGCUCGCAACCAUCUGCAACGCCAGUUCUGGGGGAUCUGGCGCCCUCUUCUGGCCCUCAUGAGCACAUCCCGUAUGUGGCGCGCAGACGGACGUGCAGGCAAAACACCCACACACAUGAAAAUACAUAAGUUUAAAAUAAGAUACAAAAUACAUGGACAUAGCAGAAACAUGGCGGAGAGGGUGUACCCGUGGUCUCGGGAAUGACAGGGUCAAUCUGGUAACAUGCCUCUUCUAUGGGAGAUGGCUAGUGGCUGCAUUUGAAAAAAAAAAAAUCGGGGGCUGGAGCGAUCACCGAAGGGGAAGAAAAGAGAUAAUUUGACGCCGGUGUAUGUUAUUUGAUUAAAUUGGAAAUAAUUUACCCCUUUCCCCCCAAGAGCAAAGAGGCCUUACUAACCCUUAGUGUUCGACACAGUGUCUGGAAUCCUGGCAGACGCUUAAUUAACUGAACGCAUCCACAGAUGAUGGAUAAAUUAGUGAUCUCCAGAAAUCAAAAAGGGACACUGAGGCCCAAAGAGACAAAUAGUUAUUCAAGAUGACUCAAAGAGUUAAAUUUGAGAUGCCUGUCUUCCCUUCCCCCACACAGUGGAGAAGGGGCACUGCAGGCCGACACCCCCAACCCCCACCCCCACUCCGAUCCCCCGUAAAUGACUGGAUCCGGUUCUUGGAUGUGCAAGAAUUAGGCCUGCUGUGUGGGACGAAUCAGGGAAGGAGGAUGGGGCUGAGCGCACAUACACACUCACCUAGUCUCUGUGGACUGGUAACCUAGCAACAGCCUCCAGCUUAGCCAAUCACAGUUGGCCAGCCCGCUCUCCCCUAUAUUGAGAUGACUGCUCAGGGGAAGCUGAGGUGAGGCGGCUUCUGGGAGGCAGGAGUGAGCAGAUUUCCCAGGGAAGCCCCGGCAAGGCUCAGAAUCCCUGACCGAGGAACCUGCACGCCUUAGGCUCCCGUCUGGCUUCCCAAUUGCAGGCUGAAUUCCCAGGCGUGUUUUCCCCUGGGUCUGUCUAGCUUGACUACCUAACCACAUUCUAAUAAUAACCGCUAUUAUCUUAUCUUAAUGAAAGUAGUUCACCCAAACAGGCUUUCCCACCUUGAGUCUUGUUUAUCGUCACAGCGACAGUCAGGCUCUAAGGGCAGAGAUCCCGGUUUACGCACCGCGCACUGCAGAGACUGCCUUAAAGCUACCCUGUCGCUCACGGAAACCCGUGGGGACACUCUGUGCGGCCAGUUUUCAGUCAGAGAAGGCUUUGUGCCAGGCAAAUCUAAAGUGAAAAUUGAUUGUAUAAAACGACUGAACGCAAAGCUGUGAAGGAUUGAAGCCGGAUGGGGGUUGAACCCCGUGAGACUGCCUGGCCUCACCUUAAGCAGGAAACCCCUCAAAAUUCCUGGAAAUGCAUAGUUCUGAGAGUCUAGGUCAAGAAUACUAGGCCGGACGCAGGGAGGAUUGCUCAAGGGGUAAAAAUGCUUGCCAGGAAGACAUGAGAUCCGAGUUUAGACCCCCAGAACCCAUGCAAAAGCUGAAUGUACCCGUGAGCUCUCGCAACCCCAGUGCGGGGGAGGGGGAGCCAUCCUGAUGCUUGUGGUCUACUAACCAGAGCGGGCCCCAGCUCUCUGUGAGAUACAAAACAAACACACAAACAAAACAGGCCGUGGCUCUUGAAGAAAGACAUCGGUGGUUGACUCCUGACCCCAGGCGCACACAAAUGCAUGUGCACCUGCACACGUAUGCACUGAUGGGGAGCCCCUCACACACAAACACCAGACCAGGCGCCAUUUGUCUGCUUGUGCAGAUACAAGUUCCAGCCCAGGAUAAAGUUGAAGGACACCUGUGAGUUGCCUCUCGGUGCCCCUUCAGCCGUGAACCUUUCCAGUUGGACACCUUGUCGGAGCAAAACCAGGCUUCCUGCCCGAGAGCAAGCCUGUGUUUCCCAGCAUCUUUUGCUACCAGGUCAACUGAUCCAGAAAGGUAGCACUCUGGCCAGAUGACAUCCAGAACCAGAGUGGAGGGGGAUGCAGAUGGACCCUCAUCUGAAGUCUUUUCCCUCCUUGCUGAACCCCACCCAGAAAGGCCACUGGAAAGGAAGGAGCUCCCGGAGUGAGCCACUCUGACUGCCCACAAUUUCUUAGCUCCUGUUCUCGGUGGGCAAAGCUGGGCCGCUCAUCUGAAUUCCUCCCUGGGAGAUCCUCAGUUCUGCCGCUACCUUUUGGAGAGCAGACUAAGGGGCGGCAAGAACCGAGUGCCCGCUUUACCUAGUGUCAGGCAUCAAACUCACCUUCAGACAGGCAGCCUACCAACUGAGCCACAUCUCCAGCCCUAAUUUUUUUUAAAGGCUUCUAGAGCUGGAGAGAUGGCUCAGUGGUUAAGAGCACCAACUGCUCUUCCAGAGGUCCUGAGUUCAAUUCCCAGCAACCACAUGGUGGCUCACAACCAUCAUGUAAUGAGACCUGAUGCCCUCUUUUGAUGAUGUACUUAUAAUUAAUAAAUAAAUAAAUCUUUUAAAAAAUACAUUAAAAAUUUAAAAAAAGAAAGCCUUCUACAGUAACAAAGCAAUUGGGGAGCUGAGUUGACACACCCUGGGUCAAUGCUGCUGCGGCUAAAUGAGGACAUGAGGACACUGUCCUGUAAUUUUUCCACGUUAAAAAAAAGCAUUUUAAAAAAAGAUUUAUUUGGGGUUGGGGAUUUAGCUCAGUGGUAGAGCGCUUGCCUAGGAAGUGCAAGGCCCUGGUUCGGUCCCCAGCUCCGAAAAAAAGAAAAGGAAAAAAAAAGAUGUAUUUAUUUUAUGUAUAUGAGUACACUAUCGCUGUCUUCAGACACACUAGAAGAGGGCAUCAGAUCCCAUUACAGAUGAGUUGUGAGCCCCCAUGUGGUUGCUGGGAAUUGAACUCGGGACCUGUGGAAGAGCAGUCAGUGCUCUUAACCACUGAGCCAUCUAGAGCUGGAGAGAUGGCUACCCCCUCCCCUACCCAUUUUUUAAAGGAACAGGAAUGCUCACAAAAGCACUAUUCACGAUAGCCCACAGUAAAAACCACCCAUUCAUCAUCGAGAGAAUAAAUGAAUAAAUGUGGUAAGUCCACCCAGUAGAAUACUGUUCCGCCAUGGAACAGAACACCAACUAUUCAUGCUAUAUCCUGGUGAGCCUUGAUAAGACGGCGCUGGGAAAGAAGCCAGGUGCAAACUGGUGUAUGCAUCGCCUGUGUAUUAAAUGUGAAACAUUGUAUCAUGUUAAAUGUGUUCAUCUGGAGAGACUGAUCGGUGACUUCUGGGGAACGGAGGCCACAACUAAGGAGUAAGGUUCCUUUGUGGGUAAGGCGUUCUGAAACUGUAGCGCUUGUUGUACAACUGAACAAACCCUGGGUAAACUUUAAAUAAACUUCAAGUAGGGUGAUCUGCA